AAAAUGCGAUAAGUAAUGUGAAUUGCAGAAUUCAGUGAAUCAUCGAAUCUUUGAACGCACAUUGCGCCCGCCAGUAUUCUGGCGGGCAUGCCUGUUCGAGCGUCAUUUCAACCCUCAAGCCCCCGGGUUUGGUGUUGGGGAUCGAGCUGCGGUUCUACCGCGUCCCGGCCCCGAAAUCUAGUGGCGGUCUCGCUGCAGCCUCCAUUGCGUAGUAGCUAACACCUCGCAACUGGAACGCGGCGCGGCCAAGCCGUUAAACCCCCAACUUCUGAAUGUUGACCUCGGAUCAGGUAGGAAUACCCGCUGAACUUAAGC
rnacentral:misc_RNA from 1 species